AUUGAACGCUGGCGGCAGGCCUAACACAUGCAAGUCGAGCGGAUGAAGGGAGCUUGCUCCUGGAUUCAGCGGCGGACGGGUGAGUAAUGCCUAGGAAUCUGCCUGGUAGUGGGGGAUAACGUCCGGAAACGGGCGCUAAUACCGCAUACGUCCUGAGGGAGAAAGUGGGGGAUCUUCGGACCUCACGCUAUCAGAUGAUCCUAGGUCGGAUUAGCUAGUUGGUGGGGUAAAGGCCUACCAAGGCGACGAUCCGUAACUGGUCUGAGAGGAUGAUCAGUCACACUGGAACUGAGACACGGUCCAGACUCCUACGGGAGGCAGCAGUGGGGAAUAUUGGACAAUGGGCGAAAGCCUGAUCCAGCCAUGCCGCGUGUGUGAAGAAGGUCUUCGGAUUGUAAAGCACUUUAAGUUGGGAGGAAGGGCAGUAAGUUAAUACCUUGCUGUUUGGACGUUACCAACAGAAUAAGCACCGGCUAACUUCGU
rnacentral:rRNA from 1 species